CCUACGGGAGGCAGCAGUGGGGAAUUUUGGACAAUGGGCGCAAGCCUGAUCCAGCAAUGCCGCGUGAGUGAAGAAGGCCUUCGGGUUGUAAAGCUCUUUUGUCAGGGAAGAAACGGUGAGGGCUAAUAUCUCUUGCUAAUGACGGUACCUGAAGAAUAAGCACCGGCUAACUACGUGCCAGCAGCCGCGGUAAUACGUAGGGUGCAAGCGUUAAUCGGAAUUACUGGGCGUAAAGCGUGCGCAGGCGGUUUUGUAAGUCUGUCGUGAAAUCCCCGGGCUCAACCUGGGAAUUGCGAUGGAGACUGCAAGGCUAGAAUCUGGCAGAGGGGGGUAGAAUUCCACGUGUAGCAGUGAAAUGCGUAGAGAUGUGGAGGAACACCGAUGGCGAAGGCAGCCCCCUGGGUCAAGAUUGACGCUCAUGCACGAAAGCGUGGGGAGCAAACAGGAUUACGAUACCCUGGUACGUCCACGCCCUAAACGUAUGUCUACGUUAGUUGUUACGGUUUAAUUACGUUAGGUAACGCACGACGUAACGCGUAGAAGUACGACCGCGGUAGGGGACGUACGGUCGACGAAGUAACUUAAAACCGUACGAAAAGGUAAGUUACGGACCGGUAGUAGGAGUACCGUACGACCGAACGGACGACGACGGAGGGAGGAGG
rnacentral:rRNA from 1 species